GACUAUUUCUCGUUGAAACACCGGUCCCCAUAAGAUCACCGAAGUUAAGCAACGUCGAGCUUGGUCAGUACCUAGAUGGGUGACCACUUGAGAAUAUCAGGUACUGUAAG